rnacentral:lncRNA from 1 species
GUUUUGGGUCAAUGGAAAAUUUUCCGUUGUGUUCUACAGCGCUAAACCCUAGGGUUCGAAUGCUCUGCACAAAAAGAGUCUCUAAAGGUCAAGGGUAAAACUGUUCUCGGGCGCUAGAAUUCAAUAUUCUCGUUUUGUUAUUCAUCUCAAGAAUCAAAUGCUUCUUAGAUCCACUUUUUCAAGAAUCCAUAAAUAUGAAUUCUUCAACAAUUUCUGCAGUCUUGCAAAUGUAAAUUCAUUAAUUUUGGACUCAGAAACCGCAAUUUCUCAGUCAAAAUUGAAACCCUUUUCAUCGGAGGAUAAGGCAUCAGAAAAUGCUAAUGUUAUCUCCUAUUUGAUAAAUUCCUGUGGGUUACCUCCAGAGAAGGCUAUUUCUUCUUCCAAAAGGUUGCAUUUUAACUGCCCAGACAGACCAGAUGCUGUUCUGAAUUUUCUUACGAAACAUGGAUUUAGCAAAUCGCAAAUUGCCGAGCUUGUGAGGAAACGGCCUUUGCUUCUUAUGUCCGAUCCUGAGAAGACCCUUUUGCCCAAGAUUGAGUUUUUCUUGCAGUCGACUGGAGUUGCGAAAGCCGACCUUUUCAGAAUCAUUUCAAGAUACCCUACAUUCUUGGUAAGUAGUUUGGAGAACAAACUUAUACCAAUUUAUAAAUACCUCAAGGAUAUAAUCGAAGAUGAAAAGGUCGCGACCCUUUUGAGGCGCGGUUCGUGGGUUUUCCAUCGACCAAUUGCAAGGGGGCUUAAGCCGAAUGUGGACUUUUUGCGGGCACAUGGAGUUCCCAGUUCGUUUAUCGCAUUAGGGCUGUACAAUUUUCCACAAGCCAUCUCUCAAGAACAUAAUUAUCUCAAAGAAACUGUUGCAGAGGUGAAGGAAAUGGGAUUUGAUCCAUUGAAAUCAACGUUUGUAUUGGCAUUAUAUGCUCGUUCAGGGGACCGUCAUAGGUCUUCAUGGGAAAAUUGCUAUGAAACUUAUAGGAAAUGGGGUUGGUCGAAGGAUGAUAUUUACAUGGCAUUUAGAAAACACCCUCUGUGUAUGCUUUCGUCUGAAAAGAAAAUCUCUGGAGUUUUGAGUUUCCUAGUUACUAAGAUGGGUUAUGAGUCCAGAAUGAUUGCGCAUUAUCCACAACUUCUCUUCUACAGUUUGGAGAAGAGGAUUAUCCCCAGGUGCUCGGUCGUUCACCUUUUGGCCUUGAAGGGUUUAGUUAGGAAAGAUAAGAGCUUGACCACUAUAAUGUGCCCUGCAGAGAAAUAUUUCUUGGACACGUUUGUGACUAACUAUGCUGAGGAAUUACCUCAACUUUACGACAUUUAUAAAGGGAAGGCAGUGGUUCCCGAAGUAUAACUGAGUUAAAAGAGUUUGUUUCUAACUUGUUGCCACUAUCAUUAUUUGCAACAAAUUAUUGUGUUAUGACAGUUAUUUUCUGUCUUCAUAUAGCGUCUUGCAGCGAUUAUUCAGCCAAGAUUGAUUAUGUAGGCAACUCUCUUGAUCUUGAUGUCGAAACUAGGGUGUUUAAUUAUAAUUUAGAGCACAACCAAACUCCAUUUUUGACUCUUGAAUCAAUGAAUGGAUUGAUUGUUCUGAACCAGGCACGGUUGCACUCGCUUUUUGCUUGAUGUUUAGAGAUGAUAUUGUAGGACCGACUCCUACAACUUCCAUGUAAUUGUUAAUUAUUUUACUUCGAAAUGAGAUUCUGUGAAAUGUCUUUUGCUCAAUGGAUUCACAAAGUUUUUAUGCAUAUUAUUGUUAUUGGCUGGUUAUGCCCUAUAUCCUCCACAAUUUUGAUGCUUAAAUUGUCUUCGCAGGACUUGUCAUUCAACCAAAAUUUCACCUGUAUCUCCGAGAGAUUACACAGUUAGACACAACAGCAUGCAAUGCACAGAGCCACAGAAUAGAAGCCGUAGAACAAAAAUUACAGGGAAACCUGGCCUUCAUUACUCGGCAAGAAGUGACCUCGUCCAAGGCUAAAAGGUACGUAUGUGCACUCUGAAUUAUGCUGAGAACUCAAUUGAAAUGAAAUGUUCAAUUUUUACCCAGUGAUGGCAUCAAUAUAUGAACUGUCUCAACAACUUUGCCCAUUUUAUACAAAAAACUUUCAUUUGACAUCCCUAACUGCUAAUGCAUAAGUUGCCAUGUGAUCAUGCUUCUGCUAUCAGAUUACGAUAUUCUAUUAGUCUUCAAAAUUCUCCCUUUUUCAUGGAAGUUACGAAGGAAGUUCUGCUUAAGGCAAGGAACUUCCUUGUAAAAAGGAGUAGACACCUUCAGAUGUUUCCCAGUGACCAAAGGCACUCUUAUGCUGCUGAAUAAUGUUAUUUAUCUCCAAUAGAGAUGACCUUCAUAUGAUGUGGCAAAAAUGAUUAUUUCAUAUCCAUACAUUUAAAAUUUGUCUUUUCAUUUAAUGACAUGUCACUUGCCAC